AAGGAUCAUUACAGAGUUCAUGCCCUCACGGGUAGAUCUCCCACCCUUGAAUACUAUACCUUUGUUGCUUUGGCGGGCCGCCUUGGCUACUGGCUCUAGCUGGUAAGUGCCCGCCAAAGGACCCCAAAACUCUGAAUAUUAGUGUCGUCUGAGUACUAUAUAAUAGUUAAAACUUUCAACAACGGAUCUCUUGGUUCUGGCAUCGAUGAAGAACGCAGCGAAAUGCGAUAAGUAAUGUGAAUUGCAGAAUUCAGUGAAUCAUCGAAUCUUUGAACGCACAUUGCGCCCCUUGGUAUUCCGAGGGGCAUGCCCGUUCGAGCGUCAUUAUAACCCCUCAAGCCUGGCUUGGUGUUGGGGCCUGCUGUUACCAGCAGCCCUUAAAAUCAGUGGCGGUGCCAUCUGGCUCUAAGCGUAGUAAUACUUCUCGCUACAGGGCCCCGGUGGAUGCUUGCCAUCAACCCCUAAUUUUCUAUGGUUGACCUCGGAUCGGGUAGGGAUACCCGCUGAACUUAA
rnacentral:misc_RNA from 1 species